rnacentral:lncRNA from 1 species
UCACUACAACCUCCGCAUCUCGGGUUCACGCCAUUCUUCUGCCUCAGCCUCCUGAGUAGCUGGGACUACAGGCGCGCAUCACCACGCCCGGCUAAUUUUUGUAUUUUUAGUAGAGACGGGGUUUCACCAUGUUGGCCAGGCUGGUCUCAAACUCCUGACCUCGUGAGCCACCCGCCUCGGCCUCCCAAAGUGCUGGGAUUACAGGCGUCAGCCACCGCGCCCGCUCAAUAUUUUAUCUCUUAACGCCUCCUUCUCCCCUGCGCGAUUGAAGGAGACAGUGCCAGGAGGCUCACUGCUUCUGGCCCAGAGUGACGGCUCGAAAGGAAGGGUCUCUGCAGGCCCAGAGAGGAGGUCCCGGCAGGCUUCCCGGAGGAGGCCGUUUGGACUUGUUUGGGAAGGACACUGCAAUUGUUCCGGCUUGUAGCAGGGGACUGGGGAACAGCCCCUAUGACCUCGCAGCUCCACGGCUCCAUUGGCCAGAUUUCCAGGACCAGGACUGAAGCCUCACUACCCCGGCUUUGCUGCUCAUAGCGAGGUCUCCCUGCCCGGUGCUCCUGCGAGCCAUGGCGGUCCCAUUCCCCAACCCUCUUUCCAGUGGUGACCCAGGCGUCCGGGGUUCAGGGUGACCACAAGGUCUCCCCCACUCUGCAGCCCAGGCCCAGAUGGCCUGGCUCUAGAGCUCCCCACUCCAUCCAGAGUCCCUGUUUCCCCAAAGAGAAGGGCCCACCCCGGCUCCCGCUCACUCCUCCUCCUGCC